CCUCGAUUCACUUGGGACUUAGAAGGUUCCCGGAGAUCUUUGCGCAUUCUGACGGCAGGUAGGGCGCCACAAGUCACAAUGUCUCAGCUGGAAUCUAGCCAAGGGGACGAACGUAUCUUUACGGGCGAAUGGCUCCGGAAGGCCUCUGAUUCCGAGAAGAUGAUGGAAUCAUACCAUCAGGACGGCUGUCUUUUGAUCUGGUACCCACUGCGGAUCUGAGCAGCGCCGAGCCAUUGCAAGAAGAGCACGUCAGGAGGGCUGUUGCUCACCUGUACAGGAAGGUUCCGAGUCUAAACGUAUGUUAUGGUGCUUCUGGCGACGAUUUGUGGUUCAGAAGGGCAACAAACCCAGAGAUUGAUUUUAAAGUUCAUCGGGGUUCGCAGUUAGAAGAAGUGAGAGAGUCACUGCGCAAUCAUUCUUACAAGAGUGAAACUGGGCCGCUUUUCUGUGCUCGGUUAGUUUUAUGAUUCCCCAGA